rnacentral:rRNA from 1 species
GACGAACGCUGGCGGCGUGCUUAACACAUGCAAGUCGAACGGAAAGGCCCUGCUUUUGUGGGGUGCUCGAGUGGCGAACGGGUGAGUAACACGUGAGUAACCUGCCCUUGACUUUGGGAUAACUUCAGGAAACUGGGGCUAAUACCGGAUAGGAGCUCCUGCUGCACGGUGGGGGUGGGAAAGUUUCGGCGGUUGGGGAUGGACGCGCGGCUUAUCAGCGUGUUGGUGGGGUAGUGGCUUACCAGGGCGUUGAGGGGAUGCCACACUGCGAGGGUGACCGGCCCCAUUGGGACUGGGGUGCGACCCGGACGGCUACGGGAGGCAGCAGUGGGGAUUAGUGCACGAUGGGCGGAAGCCGGGUGCAGCGACGCCGCGUGCGGAAUGACGGCCGUCGGGUUGUAAACCGCUUGCGCCUGUGACGAAGCGUGAGUGACGGUAAUGGGUAAAGAAGCACCGGCUAACUACGUG